AAGCGUUGUCCGGAAUUAUUGGGCGUAAAGAGCUCGUAGGCGGUCUGUUGCGUCCGCUGUGAAAACUCGGGGCUUAACCCCGAGCCUGCAGUGGAUACGGGCAGACUAGAGGUAGGUAAGGGAGAAUGGAAUUCCCGGUGUAGCGGUGAAAUGCGCAGAUAUCGGGAGGAACACCGGUGGCGAAGGCGGUUCUCUGGGCCUUACCUGACGCUGAGGAGCGAAGGCCAGGGGAGCAAACGGG
rnacentral:rRNA from 1 species